GACGAACGCUGGCGGCGUGCUUAACACAUGCAAGUCGAACGAUGAAGCCGGAGCUUGCUCUGGUGAAUUAGUGGCGAACGGGUGAGUAACACGUGAGUAACCUGCCCUUGACUCUGGGAUAACUGCUAGAAAUGGUAGCUAAUACCGGAUACGACCCUCGGAGGCAUCUCCAGGGGGUGGAAAGAAUUUCGGUCAAGGAUGGACUCGCGGCCUAUCAGCUAGUUGGUGAGGUAACGGCUCACCAAGGCGACGACGGGUAGCCGGCCUGAGAGGGUGACCGGCCGCACUGGGACUGAGACACGGCCCAGACUCCUACGGGAGGCAGCAGUGGGGAAUAUUGCACAAUGGGCGCAAGCCUGAUGCAGCAACGCCGCGUGAGGGAUGACGGCCUUCGGGUUGUAAACCUCUUUUAGUAGGGAAGAAGCGAAAGUGACGGUACCUGCAGAAAAAGCACCGGCUAACUACGUGCCUGCCGCCGCGGUAA
rnacentral:rRNA from 1 species